rnacentral:tRNA from 1 species
UAAAUUUUAGUUUAUAAUAUAAAAUAUUUUAUUUACACUAAAUUGAAUUAAUUUUAUUAAAAAUUUAA